GACGAACCGUGCGAACGUUAUUCGGAAUCACUGGGCUUAAAGGGUGCGUAGGCGGGCCACCAAGUCAGGGGUGAAAUCCCACGGCUCAACCGUGGAAGUGCCUCUGAUACUUGUGGCCUCGAGGGGUGCAGGGGCGUGCGGAACUCAGGGUGGAGCGGUGAAAUGCGUAGAUAUCCUGAGGAACACCGGUGGCGAAAGCGGCGCGCUAGACACCUUCUGACGCUGAGGCACGAAAGCCAGGGGAGCAAACGGG
rnacentral:rRNA from 1 species